rnacentral:tRNA from 1 species
GCCCGGAUGGCGGAAUUGGUAGACGCGCUGGUCUCAAACACCUGUGUCUUCGGACAUGCCGGUUCGACUCCGGCUCCGGGUA